UUCAAACCCAGAUAUAACCACAAAGACCAGGGAGGUUUUUCAAUGCCUCGCAAAGAAGAGCACCUAUUGGUAGAUGGGUUCCUUUGAGCAUGGUGAUGUUAUUAAUUACACUGUGUCAAUACACCCAGUCACUACACUGAAAAAACGGGACAAGGUGUGCUGUCAGAUUUAUGAAAAUGUGUGAUUUACUCAAACAUGUUUUGUUUCUUCUCUCAAUGCGAUUUCAUUGCUUGCAAUCAGUGCAACACGAAGCAAAAUCAGAUCUAAUAGUUUGAAUCAUGUAGGGGGACUGUGAACCAAUAAAGUUAAUUAAUGACAAGUAAAGAGGAACGAUUCAAACAGCACUAGAGAAAAAUCUUCCAGAAAGAACGUUGGUGGGUUAGUGGAGAAGACAGUACCUCGAGAAGUUUGGUCAAGAGAAACAGAAGAGAGCCUCGAGGACAUGCGGAAAGCUCUGCUGUCCGAUGUGAAGAAAAGGAAAAACAGAGAGACAAUGAAGUUCAAAAAUGGAGAAUACAUUUGCAUACCGGAGACAUGAAGUUGUGGCCCGUGAUGCACCCAUGGCAGAGGACUUCAUGGCAAGAUGGCCUGCGCUCUUUGAAGUCAUUGUGAAGGAGGAGGACAGCUGGGCAGAAGACUCAUAUCAAGCAUGGCACCUAUGGCUGAUAAUAGCAAUAUAGAUGUCGGACGAGAGUGCAUCAUAAAGGAAGUGUGGGUGUAUAUGGGUGAAGACCCAGAAAACCUUGUUCUGGAAUAUGUGGGCAUGGAUGAAGAGUCCACCAAGGCAGCCAUUGAGGAAACUACUGUGGGGGAUCUACAUUAUCGAAGACCAUUGCCGCGAGUGAGGAACCAGAGGAUGCUAGGAUUGUCCUUGAAGGCGUCAAGGUGGUGCAGGAUCUGGGCAACGUAGCAUUUGCUGUUCGGCCUGAUGUAUGGCAUGAACCUCAGUUACCCUACUGAGCUCCGCCACACCUUUGAAGUCUUUCAGAAGGUUUUAAUGGAGCUGAAUAGGAACAAACUUUCGAACAAAGCUGUUGCAUUUAAAAACAGGCUGUUUCAGUGAGUUGUUUUGUUGUGUGUUUCAGACUGUAUGUUGUGUUUCACACUGUAUGUUUGACUUAUGUUGAACUUGUUCACAAACACUCAAAACAGAAUGUGCAUGUCCAAAGAUGUGAUUUUGUUAGAUAUUUUGUAUAGAUGCCCUUAGUUUUCUGCUUAUGGAAAAAGUUCAGCUUCACUUUGUAAUGACUUUUAGUCAAUAGAACUAACAUGAACAAAUAUGUACACAUACCUACCUCAUUCUUUGUCUGUUACUCCUUAUGAAAAAUAACUACUUCAUUUUGUAACAAAAUACAUUAGAGAGAGUGCCCAAUCAUUGUUAGGCAACUCUUUUUUUUUAUACAGUCAUAUAGCCUACAGCACUGUGAUUUAGACCUGUGCAAUUCAUUGAACACUGAAUGUCAGUGAAUUUACAUACAGUAUAAUUUUUGAAACGCAUGCCUUUUGCCUUUGUCACUGAUGCAAAUGGUCUCUUGCUCCUUGGUUACACAUAUUUAGCAUGUAUUUUAUAUUUCCCUAUUCAUUUGUAUGAAUACAAACACUAAGGUAGAAAAUGGCAGCAUUUAAUCUUGUGCUUACAUUAAUAAUUAUGUAGAACCUUGUCCAUAAUACAGAGUAAUGUCAUCAAUAAAAGAAUGUUAGUUAUUAAGUAGUUAUCAGGUUUAGGGAACAUGAUCAAAUCCAUUUGAAGCUACACAUUUAAUUCAAAUAAAAUUAGCUUUACCAAAUCAUGUUAAAUUGAUUUUAUUCCAUUACAAUGCAUUUAUGAAAAUUAUUAUAUUUGCUUCACAAAAAGAUACAUUUGUGUAUAACAUGUUUCAUUCAUGUGGAACCGAUGUACACAUUUGAAUUAAGUAAAUUCAAUGCACCAUUCUUUUUCAGUGUACCAAGAUGCAGUCAUCCUUCCUAACUCAGUUGCCGGAGAGGAAGGAAACCACUCAGGGAUUUCACCAUGGGGACAAUGAUGAGUUUAAAACAAUUACCGUUCAUCAAAGGCUGUGAUAGGAGAAAACUGAGGAUGGAACAACAACAUUGUAGUUACUCCACAAUACUAACCUAAUUGACAGAGUGAAAAGAAGGAAGCCUGUACAGAAUACAAAUAUUCCAAAACAUGCAUCCUGUUUGCAACAAGGCACUAAAGUAAUAUUGCAAAAAAUGUGGCAAAGCCAUUCACUUUUUCGCCUGAAUACAAGUGUUAUGUUUGGGGCAAAUCCAAGACAACACAUUACUCUUCAUAUUUUCCCUUUAUCAAUGGUCUUGACUAGCCUAUUUGAUCACAUUGGGCAGGACAAAAAGAAAACAGCCUUCAUUGAGAAGAGGGGAGGCAAUGUAUGGUUUUUAAUUAAAUAAAAUGAAAUGGGGAAAAAUCAUUAGUCUUUGAUGUUUCUAAAUAUUAAGUAUACAGGCACCAAAAGCACAUCUCGUUCCAUACACAUAUGGGCAAUGUGCGUCAUGGCUGUAUAACCUGCAUUUCCGAUGUCAAAAUUCAUGCCAUGACCAACUGCGUUACCACUAAAACCAGCUUUGGUUGGUCUUAAAUAUCCCUACCAGCGCUGCCUGAAAUUAGCACUUUGAAUCAUAUUUUUAAGGACACACAUCAAAUAUUUCCACCCCUCCCAUCUGAGCGCUGAUGUUAAACAGGUACAUUUUUUUCUGGCAAUGUUCUUAUCCCUUGCUUGCUAGCUAGCCAACUUUGGCUAACACAGUCAUGUCAAACAGCGCAGCCAGAAUAACAACAAAGUAGCUUCAUAUUCAUUUGUUCAAGCUGUUUUCUAGUGAUGUAUUUUAUAUACAUCCAUAACAAUCAGCUAAUGAUGUGCCAUUUCGCAUGGCAUAGAACAUUUGCUCUUUCGCCAGGCCACUGUUCUUAAGAGAUUGCCAACUACACAGCUAACACAAUCACUUCAAACUGAAGCUGGAAUGACAGCAAACUAGCUGCAUUUUGUGUUUUUCUAUUGAUUUCUUUGUAUAUAUGCAUAAAACUCAUGCUGAUUCAUGAUUUCGCUUGGGCUGAGAAAAGCUGCCAGCCUGUCUGUCUUGUCCCGACACAUUCAUUACCAUAGGACAGCUGGAGAUCGAUAUUUGCAACAGUGAAAUUCAGAGAGACAGACAGCAAGGUUACCACAAAUCGCCGCUGUUGAAAACCAAAAUGGUAGUCUAAAAGAAAUGGGAGAUAAUGUCUAGAUGCUUUUUACAGUGUAGAUCUAGUAUAUACAUUGCCUGGCUGAGCUGAUGAGACAGUGGAUUGUGCAGUCAGAUGGAACAGAGUAAUUAGGCAUUUCAACAUCAGAUUUAGCCGGUGACUUGUGUAAUACACACCAGCUGGAACGCGGUUUUAACAAAUGAGCAUCCAGGAUUAGACCCACACGUUGUAUAAAAUAAAUGGUAUAUUUAAUUGAGAGACUGAUGACCAAUCAUUUUGUUUAGCUAUUGUGUCAGAAAAGGCCACACAAUGAUCCAAAAGGAUUGUUAUCUUAGUAUUUUUGUUUUCUAAAACCAUAUGGAUGACAAUCAGUACAGUAUACUUUAUACAAAGAUCCACAAAUAUUAGGUACAAGUAAAAACAUUUGAGUCAACACUUAUUGCAAUAUAAAGUUAAAAGUUAGUCGUAUGUACGGGAUACGCAUGGUAUACACGUCCAACGAAAUGCUUACUCGCAGGUUCCUUCUGACAAUGUGAAACGUUAUAUUCAACAGCAAAGUCAAAUUAGAAAAGGCCAUGGAAUCCAUCUAUUACAUGUCAAAUAAUAAAGAACGUUAUGAAUAUAUAGGUUCAUAUAAGCUUUCUUACCCCGAUAAGAUGCAGUAAUUCAGCAAUGAGAAAUCGUAGUUCCACUGUACUCAGCAUCUCAGACGUCGUGGCUCUUUUAUAUGGUUUGUUAUCUCGUAUGGACAAUGAAAAGAGUUCAUUGACACACCUUUCUGAUUCAGUGGAAAAAGGACCAUUUUUAUUUGCUUAUGACAAAUGGACAUUCUCUAGAACCAAGACAGAACAAAAAAACUAUCCUGCUUCUGCAAUGUAUUCAGAGUAGUAAGACAAGAUGUGCUCACAACCCAACCCCCCCGAGAAACAAAAUGUUGCAACUUUGUAUGAAUCUUGUCAACCAAGCCCCUUAGUGUGAAUUGUAUUUGCUCAAGCUUAGAAAAUGUUAUUGGUCACAUACACAUACACACAUACACAUAUUUAUUGGUCACAUAGACAUAUUUAGCGGAUGUUAUUGCAAGUGUGUCACGACUCCUACCUAAGGUGGCUCCCCUCCUGCUCGGGUGGCGCUCGGCGGUCAUCGUCACCGGCCUACUAGCUGCCACUGAUUCCCUUUUGUUUUCCCCCUUUUCAUUAUUAGGUGCACCUGUUCUGUGUUGGGGUGAUUAGCGGGCUUUAUUAGCCAGUAGGCCCACCUGCUCUUUGUGCGGGAUUGUUUCUCUGUAUGCUGUGCUUGGUGACACGCUGAUUUGUAUUUUGCCUUAGUGCGUGUGUUUGCGCCAACAGUGUUUUGUCCCCUGUGUUUGGGGCACUUUGUUUGUGUGCGCUCUGAUCGCUGUUUGGGGUG
rnacentral:lncRNA from 1 species